rnacentral:lncRNA from 1 species
AUGUGUAUCUCCAGGCCAGACCCGGAUCCCGCACCCCAGAGGUCUUCAUCCAGCUACCUGCGAGAGAGUUUGAUAAAAACAAGAGGCGUGAGAAAGUCAUUCCCAUUGGUUAGCAGAAUCACGGACCUGGGCCAGAACCACUCUUCUGUCCAUUCCCAGCUCCUCAGAUGCCUCCACGCUCAGCAUGGAGUUUGCUUGGAAGAUGCCCUCUGUCUGCCCCUCCCCCCACUCAACAACUUGCUUUCUCUCUCUCUCUCAAAUAAAUAAAUAAAUACCACCCCCAAAAAAAGUCCUUUCUCACCAGCUAUUUUGGGACAUUUUUCGCUUAAGAUUUUUUCCUGCAAAGUUUCUGUUGCCAUGUAGUUACCAAUUUUAAUAAGAUGUCAUCAUCAAGAUAAGUGAUUUCAGUAAGCCUUAUUCAGAAAUUCUAAAAGGACUGUUCUUCGGACUGAACCAGCUAGUGUCCCUAGGGUCAAUAGAGUCUUGAUUUUUUUUUUUUUAAUGAAAUCAUCUAGCCUUCUCCAAGCCUCAAAAUAGGCUUUUCCAGUAGACAAUAUGCUCUUCUACCUUUAGAAUAGAACUUCUUACUGACACCUUUGCAAGCUUGCUCUACGAUACCAACCCGUGGAGGCAAAUUGAAAAUUUGGUUAAAACAAUCAUUUGGUUUAAGCCCCAAAGCUUUAGAGAUGAGAUGAGGUUCAGAAAAGGACUUGCCCAAGGUCUCACUUCACAGCAGAAGCAGAAUGACAACCUGCCUAGAAUGCAACCCGGUGCUUUUGCCAACAUGUCUCUUGACAGAGCAAAAUCUUAGUAAAACAAGUCAUUCUCUCUAACGUGUUAAGGCUCUUCAUUUCUAAAGUCUUUAUGAAGGUUCUAUUCAAAACUCCUGACCACCAGCAGAAAAAAAUGACACUUUUUAAAUGGCAAAAGAAGUAUAGCAAGCCAGACUGAGGAUUCAAAAAUCAUCCUUUGAUGUGUGAAGCCACU